UUAAGCGACUAAGCGUACACGGUGGAUGCCCUGGCAGUCAGAGGCGAUGAAGGACGUGCUAAUCUGCGAAAAGCGUCGGUAAGGUGAUAUGAACCGUUAUAGCCGGCGAUGUCCGAAUGGGGAAACCCAGUGCAAUUCGUUGCACUAUCGUUAACUGAAUACAUAGGUUAACGAGGCGAACCGGGGGAACUGAAACAUCUAAGUACCCCGAGGAAAAGAAAUCAACCGAGAUUCCCCCAGUAGCGGCGAGCGAACGGGGAGCAGCCCAGAGUCUGAAUCAGCUUGUGUGUUAGUGGAACGGUCUGGAAAGUCCGACGGUACAGGGUGAUAGUCCCGUACACCAAAAUGCACAGGCUGUGAACUCGAAGAGUAGGGCGGGACACGUGGUAUCCUGUCUGAAUAUGGGGGGACCAUCCUCCAAGGCUAAAUACUCCUGACUGACCGAUAGUGAACCAGUACCGUGAGGGAAAGGCGAAAAGAACCCCGGCGAGGGGAGUGAAAAAGAACCUGAAACCGUGUACGUACAAGCAGUGGGAGCACCUUCGGGUGUGACUGCGUACCUUUUGUAUAAUGGGUCAGCGACUUAUAUUCUGUAGCAAGGUUAACCGUAUAGGGGAGCCGCAGGGAAACCGAGUCUUAACUGGGCGUUAAGUUGCAGGGUAUAGACCCGAAACCCGGUGAUCUAGCCAUGGGCAGGUUGAAGGUUGGGUAACACUAACUGGAGGACCGAACCGACUAAUGUUGAAAAAUUAGCGGAUGACUUGUGGCUGGGGGUGAAAGGCCAAUCAAACCGGGAGAUAGCUGGUUCUCCCCGAAAGCUAUUUAGGUAGCGCCUCGUGAAUUCAUCUUCGGGGGUAGAGCACUGUUUCGGCUAGGGGGUCAUCCCGACUUACCAACCCGAUGCAAACUACGAAUACCGAAGAAUGUUAUCACGGGAGACACACGGCGGGUGCUAACGUCCGUCGUGAAGAGGGAAACAACCCAGACCGCCAGCUAAGGUCCCAAAGUCAUGGUUAAGUGGGAAACGAUGUGGGAAGGCACAGACAGCCAGGAUGUUGGCUUAGAAGCAGCCAUCAUUUAAAGAAAGCGUAAUAGCUCACUGGUCGAGUCGGCCUGCGCGGAAGAUGUAACGGGGCUAAACCAUGCACCGAAGCUGCGGCAGCGACACUAUGUGUUGUUGGGUAGGGGAGCGUUCUGUAAGCCUGCGAAGGUGACCUGUGAGGGUUGCUGGAGGUAUCAGAAGUGCGAAUGCUGACAUAAGUAACGAUAAAGCGGGUGAAAAGCCCGCUCGCCGGAAGACCAAGGGUUCCUGUCCAACGUUAAUCGGGGCAGGGUGAGUCGACCCCUAAGGCGAGGCCGAAAGGCGUAGUCGAUGGGAAACAGGUUAAUAUUCCUGUACUUGGUGUUACUGCGAAGGGGGGACGGAGAAGGCUAUGUUAGCCGGGCGACGGUUGUCCCGGUUUAAGCAUGUAGGCUGGUUAUCCAGGCAAAUCCGGAUAAUCAAGGCUGAGGUGUGAUGACGAGGCACUACGGUGCUGAAGUAACAAAUGCCCUGCUUCCAGGAAAAGCCUCUAAGCAUCAGGUAACAUCAAAUCGUACCCCAAACCGACACAGGUGGUCAGGUAGAGAAUACCAAGGCGCUUGAGAGAACUCGGGUGAAGGAACUAGGCAAAAUGGUGCCGUAACUUCGGGAGAAGGCACGCUGGUGUGUAGGUGAAGUCCCUGCGGAUGGAGCUGAGACCAGUCGAAGAUACCAGCUGGCUGCAACUGUUUAUUAAAAACACAGCACUGUGCAAACACGAAAGUGGACGUAUACGGUGUGACGCCUGCCCGGUGCCGGAAGGUUAAUUGAUGGGGUUAUCCGUAAGGAGAAGCUCUUGAUCGAAGCCCCGGUAAACGGCGGCCGUAACUAUAACGGUCCUAAGGUAGCGAAAUUCCUUGUCGGGUAAGUUCCGACCUGCACGAAUGGCGUAAUGAUGGCCAGGCUGUCUCCACCCGAGACUCAGUGAAAUUGAACUCGCUGUGAAGAUGCAGUGUACCCGCGGCAAGACGGAAAGACCCCGUGAACCUUUACUAUAGCUUGACACUGAACAUUGAGCCUUGAUGUGUAGGAUAGGUGGGAGGCUUUGAAGCGUGGACGCCAGUCUGCGUGGAGCCAACCUUGAAAUACCACCCUUUAAUGUUUGAUGUUCUAACGUUGGCCCCUGACCGGGGUUGCGGACAGUGUCUGGUGGGUAGUUUGACUGGGGCGGUCUCCUCCCAAAGCGUAACGGAGGAGCACGAAGGUUAGCUAAUCCUGGUCGGACAUCAGGAGGUUAGUGCAAUGGCAUAAGCUAGCUUGACUGCGAGCGUGACGGCGCGAGCAGGUGCGAAAGCAGGUCAUAGUGAUCCGGUGGUUCUGAAUGGAAGGGCCAUCGCUCAACGGAUAAAAGGUACUCCGGGGAUAACAGGCUGAUACCGCCCAAGAGUUCAUAUCGACGGCGGUGUUUGGCACCUCGAUGUCGGCUCAUCACAUCCUGGGGCUGAAGUAGGUCCCAAGGGUAUGGCUGUUCGCCAUUUAAAGUGGUACGCGAGCUGGGUUUAGAACGUCGUGAGACAGUUCGGUCCCUAUCUGCCGUGGGCGCUGGAGAAUUGAGGGGGGCUGCUCCUAGUACGAGAGGACCGGAGUGGACGCAUCACUGGUGUUCGGGUUGUCAUGCCAAUGGCACUGCCCGGUAGCUAAAUGCGGAAGAGAUAAGUGCUGAAAGCAUCUAAGCACGAAACUUGCCCCGAGAUGAGUUCUCCCUGAGACUUUAAGUCUCCUGAAGGAACGUUAAAGACGAUGACGUUGAUAGGCCGGGUGUGUAAGCGCAGCGAUGCGUUGAGCUAACCGGUACUAAUGAACCGUGAGGCUUAACCU
rnacentral:rRNA from 1 species